GAUCAUGGCUCAGAACGAACGCUGGCGGCAGGCCUAACACAUGCAAGUCGAGCGAACCCUUCGGGGUUAGCGGCGGACGGGUUAGUAACGCGUGGGAAUAUACCCUUUGGUACGGAAUAGCCUCGGGAAACUGAGAGUAAUACCGUAUGUGCCCUUCGGGGGAAAGAUUUAUCGCCAAAGGAUUAGCCCGCGUUGGAUUAGAUAGUUGGUGGGGUAAUGGCCUACCAAGUCUACGAUCCAUAGCUGGUUUGAGAGGAUGAUCAGCAACACUGGGACUGAGACACGGCCCAGACUCCUACGGGAGGCAGCAGUGGGGAAUCUUAGACAAUGGGCGCAAGCCUGAUCUAGCCAUGCCGCGUGGACGAUGAAGGCCUUAGGGUUGUAAAGUCCUUUCAGAUGGGAAGAUAAUGACGGUACCAUCAGAAGAAGCCCCGGCUAACUCCGUG
rnacentral:rRNA from 1 species